AUCAAGCUGACGAGUCCCAAAUAGGACGAAACGCGCGUCGUGGAU
rnacentral:hammerhead_ribozyme from 1 species